GUUUCUGUAGUUGAAGAAAACAACGGUGGUUUUUCAAGCCACAGGAUUUGGAUAGAGGCCAAGCAGAAAUU
rnacentral:tRNA from 1 species